CCUCGUAGUCAUUGAGACACCCCGCAAGGUCAUCAGAUUCGUUCAGGACUUUGCGUGUCUAACUUCAUACAUCAAUAGUCACUUAACUGUUUUGAUUACUUUAAAUACGCAGCAGUCUUUGCAAUUUAUAACUUGUGUACAUUCAAAUACAAAAUACUAUAACCAAAAAAAAAAAAAUGUUUUGUACGCGAAGCACGAGUUUUUCCCCUAGUUUAUUAAUUAUGCUCCUAGCAAUAUCAUUAAUUUAAAUAAAAAACAGCAAAUGGCCAAAAACUGACCCGAAUUCCUCCAAUAAUACAAAAGGUCCAAUGUUUGUGACUGGACUUCAUUAACCCUUUCUGGACUGGAGAGCUCUACAGUUUGAAGCAAACAGGAUGUCUACUGGGAAUACAGUCACCUAGGAUGGAAAAAAUGAGUACUCCUUCAGUCAAUUGUUGUAAGAGCAUUUAGAUAAAAAUUACCAACCCUGAUCCUCAAAAACGUGUGGGUUUCAAUUUUUCAUCAAACAUUUUAUUAGAAAUAUUUUAUGUACAAUAGAAUAGAGCUCAGCAAUUUAAACCAAUUAUCUAUGAUCAACGAUUACAGCAAUUAAUGAUGUAACUAAUCAAAAUUACAAUUAAAUUUUUUAAUUGAAAUUACUGUUUUUGAUUAUUCCAAUAAGUAAUUAAUGGAAAUUUUGAUAAUAUUGAUUAAUCAGCUAAUCAAAGUCAGGGUUUCCAUUUAUUUUUCAUUAUUCCACCAACCAGUUUGACCUGUUUUUGUUAUGGCAAAGCUAAUAAAGCUAUCUUCUGUCACCAUUUUUAAACUGCUGACUAAAGAAAGACAAAUCACUGGCGGUAUCUACUGUUAACCUUUUUGUUGUUGUUAUUGAGCUGUUGACUAAUGGGAAGGCAACUGGUUGGCAGCAACUACUACCACCUUUUUUUUUUUUUUUCUUGCUCGUACAUAUCGAGGUUUGAAGAAAAUUUAGUAAUUGAAUGUAAUUGAUUAAUGGGACCAUCAAUUAGUUGAUUACCAAAUACCACUAAUUUCCCAGUUCUACAUUAAGGUGAAAUUUUUUGUUCAAGCCAAUUGUUUUGGAAAUAGUGUAACCUCUCCCAGCUAGUUUGAAAAAUUUAUUUUAAAAUUCAAUUUGAUUAUACUUAGGCCUUUGUUAUAACACAUGCUGUUGCACAGUUUUUAUGAAUAAAAAUCUUAAGUGAAAAUGUAUUGAGAUAUAUUUAUUUUUGUAGUAUGAGCAAAAAACGUGUCACUCCAGGUUUUCAUUAAAAUGCACCAUGAAUAUACAAAGCAUAAACAUGAAAUACAAAAUCAGUUUUCUGAUUAACCUCAUGAUUUUGUCAAGUAGUAUGACAAAAUGGGAGAAUUUAAGAAUGGGAAUAGUCAAAUAGAUGGCCUUCCUUAGACUUUAGAAUAUCAGGGAUAUAAAAAUAUUAUACACCUGGAAAAAUGUACGUAGUCUUCAAAGAGGGAAAAAAGGACUGCUUUUGUCACUUGACCUCCAUUUACUAUGUUAGUAGUUAUUUAUGUGGCACUAAAUUGCCAUGUUCUAGCAUGUCAACUGCUAAUAAUGUUGUUUCUAAGCCUUAUGCAAGUAUUAGCAGCUGUAGUACUGUGACUACUGAUGUCAGUGCACCAAAAGGAACAGAUAUGGAAGAACAUAUUGAUUCUGUAUCAAAAAAGUGAACAAAAGGUAAACACAGUGUUACUGAUGGCAUUGUUUAUUUUGUACUAAUUAAUGUUCUUGUACUUUUAGUCAAUUUCAGAACAAUAAAAAUUAUGAAGUACUACAAAUUCAGUAUUUCUUCUACUAUUGUUGGUCUUCAGAAUCUGCCACAAUUUAUUUUUUUGCUAGUAAAUAAUUUUUCUGAUUUUUUUGUCAGUUUGUUUUCUGACUAAUAUGCUUCAAACUAUAUAACUAAUAUAUAGACAUUGACUUAAUUAUCUUUGAUUCAAACCAAACUUUUUACAGACUAAACUGGAAGUUUUUCUCAGAAAUGCAAUUAAACUUAUUAAUUUUUGAAGAUAAGUAUUUUAAUACAGAAGCUCAAAAGCUGAAUAACAGAAAAGCAAUGAUAAUCUAAAUUGUUCGUGGUGACAGUUAUUCAUGAAGCUAUGCCAAUCAUAGUGCCACCCAAGUGAUGGCUGUUUAUUAAGUAGUACUAAUGUAAGCAUUCUGUUUGUAUAUUGUAAUACAGAUACAGCUCAUGUUGAAUAUUCUAGAGUCAGUAAUUCAGUUGAAAAUACACCUAAAUAUAUUCUUUUAAUGAAGUAGCAGUAUGUAUUAACAGGGUUUUAAAAUAGCUAAUGUUGUAGUUUUAAAAAUUUUGUAGUUGUAGUUAACUGUAUAACAUUAACAGGGUAGUAUCUUCUUAGGCAAUAAUUAUUCAAAAAUUCUAAUGCUUGAUACCUAUUUAAAAGUGUAUAUUUCUGGUUAUAUAUAUAUAGAAUUCACUAAUUCUUAAACAGGUGGUAACUUUUGUGAAGCAUAGUAAUUUUUUUUGCUCUGCUGAUGUUUCAUAUUUACAAUAUUGAACUUAUUACUUCAUAUUGUUCCACAAAUAAUACACAAAUUGAGAGUCUACAGAUAUUUUUUUCUAGCUUGAAACUAUUUAAUAAAUUUGAAACUGUUUAAAGUAAAAGCAUGUAAUUACCACGUUAGCUAAAUACUUUUGUAAUAGUUUCUAUCUUCAAACAUUCAUGUGCAUGAAAUAUCUAAAUUGAAUAAUUUGUAUGUAUUGUACAUUUACCACAUUCUAGUUCAAAAUUCAAAACAUGUCCAGGGAGCAUCUGGAAAAAACUGCUGUUGAGCUUUUUCCAAGAGUGCCACUUGCUGCUCAAGAUUGCGUGGCUAAUUGGCUUCUCGAUUUGAACUUGAGUCAGAUGGUUAUGAGUUUGAGGCUGGCCCACGUCAUGCUGCCAUGUUUAUAAGCAAGACACUUUACCUCUCUUGUUCCAGUUCAUCCAUCUGUAGGAUGGGUACCUAGCUGUUAGCUGGGGGUUAACUUGUGAUGGACUGGCAUCUCUUCCAGGAGGGAAUGGGGUACCAUUCUCAUCCACUUGUGCCAUUGGAAUCAGAGUUCAAAAGCACUGACCUUAUGUGUCUUAUAAAGGUUCGGCAAGGAUUUAGCUUUUUUUUUAAUUAUUGUUAUUAUGCCUACCUUUUCAUCUUCACAUUGGUGCUUCAUGUCUAUGCUAGCUAUUAUUUAAGGUAUCAGUGAAAAAUAUUGCAAAAUUUUUGGGAUAAUACCAUUUGCUAAUUUCAGAAGUGCUUUUUUUUUAUAUAAAUGAGAUACUAUUUCUAAUCCUUUUGAAUUAAUGUAUCUUUAAAAUGAACACUACAGAUAUGUACCACUUUUAUUUGUGCAAAAGAUGAAGUUUGAACAACCAUUUUUUCAGUCAUUUUUAUUCCAAAGACUGAAAAAUUAUACAUUACUGUUUUCUCUGCUGUUACGAUGUAGUGCUAAAAGCUUAUAAAAAGUGCAAGCAUAUCUGAAAAGAUAAUAAUUUAUGAUCAACUAUAAAUGUUUAGACUAAAUAUAUAUAUAUAUCCUUGGCACUAGUAUGUCAUAACACGAAACUUGUAUGUUCUCAGAAGUUUGAAAUAUGUAAAUAAAUACAUAUGUGAAUAUAAAAAGCAUGUCAUAGUUAUAGAA